GCCACACUGGGACUGAGACACGGCCCAGACUCCUACGGGAGGUAGCAGUAGGGAAUCUUCCGCAAUGGACGAAAGUCUGACGGAGCAACGCCGCGUGUAUGAAGAAUGUUUUCGGAUCGUAAAGUACUGUUGUUAGAGAAGAACAAGGAUAAGAGUAACUGCUUGUCCCUUGACGGUAUCUAACCAGAAAGCCACGGCUAACUACGUGCCAGCAGCCGCGGUAAUACGUAGGUGGCAAGCGUUGUCCGGAUUUAUUGGGCGUAAAGCGCGCGCAGGCGGUCUUUUAAGUCUGAUGUGAAAGCCCCCGGCUUAACCGGGGAGGGUCAUUGGAAACUGGAAGACUGGAGUGCAGAAGAGGAGAGUGGAAUUCCACGUGUAGCGGUGAAAUGCGUAGAUAUGUGGAGGAACACCAGUGGCGAAGGCGACUCUCUGGUCUGUAACUGACGCUGAGGCGCGAAAGCGUGGGGAGUAAACAGGAUUAGAUACCCUGGUAGUCCACGCCGUAAACGAUGAGUGCUAAGU
rnacentral:rRNA from 1 species